rnacentral:rRNA from 1 species
UACGUAGGUCCCGAGCGUUGUCCGGAUUUAUUGGGCGUAAAGCGAGCGCAGGUGGUUUAUUAAGUCUGGUGUAAAAGGCAGUGGCUCAACCAUUGUAUGCAUUGGAAACUGGUAGACUUGAGUGCAGGAGAGGAGAGUGGAAUUCCAUGUGUAGCGGUGAAAUGCGUAGAUAUAUGGAGGAACACCGGUGGCGAAAGCGGCUCUCUGGCCUGUAACUGACACCGAGGCUCGAAAGCGUGGGGAGCAAACAGG